rnacentral:rRNA from 1 species
UCGCUAGUAAUCGCGAAUCAGAAUGUCGCGGUGAAUACGUUCCCGGGUCUUGUACACACCGCCCGUCACACCAUGGGAGUUGGUAACGCCCGAAGUCAGUGACCCAACCUUUUAGGAGGGAGCUGCCGAAGGCGGGACUGAUAACUGGGGUGAAGUCGUAACAAGGUAGCCGUAUCGGAAGGUGCGGCUGGAUCACCUCCUUUCUAAGGAA